rnacentral:rRNA from 1 species
GUAAGGAAUAUUGGGCAAUGGAGGCAACUCUGACCCAGCCAUGCCGCGUGAAGGAUUGACGGCCCUCUGGGUUGUAAACUUCUUUUGUACGGGAAUAACCCUCCGAACGUGUUCGGAGCUGAAGGUACCGUAAGAAUAAGGAUCGGCUAACUCCGUGCCAGCAGCCGCGGUAAUACGGAGGAUCCAAGCGUUAUCCGGAUUUACUGGGUUUAAAGGGUGCGUAGGCGGAUUGAUAAGUCAGUGGUGAAAUCCUGCAGCUUAACUGCAGAACUGCCAUUGAUACUGCCAGGCUGGAGUAUGGUUGAGGUAGCUGGAAUGUGUCAUGUAGCGGUGAAAUGCUUAGAGAUGACACAGAACACCGACGGCGAAGGCAGGUUACCAACCCAUUACUGACGCUGAGGCACGAAAGCGUGGGGAUCAAACAGGAUUAGAAACCCGUGUAGUCC